CCGGCCUUGACAUCCCCCUGACAUACGGGCAAUGCCGUAUUCCUUCGGGACAGGGGAGACAGGUGGUGCAUGGUUGUCGUCAGCUCGUGUCGUGAGAUGUUGGGUCAAGUCCCGCAACGAGCGCAACCCCUACCCUUAGUAGCCAGCGAGCGAGACGGGCACUCUAGGGGGACUGCCGGGGACAACCCGGAGGAAGGCGGGGACGACGUCAAAUCAUCAUGCCCCUUAUGGCCGGGGCUACACACGUGCUACAAUGGCGCGCACAGAGGGAUGCGAGCGGGCGACCGUGAGCGAAGCCCGGAAAGCGCGCCCCAGUUCGGAUUGCAGCCUGCAACUCGGCUGCAUGAAGCCGGAAUCGCUAGUAAUCGCGGAUCAGAACGCCGCGGUGAAUACGUUCCC
rnacentral:rRNA from 1 species